ACCAUAUGCGCGGGGCUGCCAACUCUGUGGAGCUCUAUUUUGGGCACAUCCAGCUUCACGCUGCACAAAGCAGAAUCGAAAGCAAAACAAAUGAAGGCACCCAUGAGUGCGAGAGAGCACGACAUAUGCACUGCCGUGGGGAGAAACACAAAAUCAAAAAUGGCGACACGCUGUAUAACAAGUGCAGGUUAUGAUUCAUUGCAAGAAUAUACUGUUUGGCAAUGCCCACGGACGGUUCUCUCCUAAUAACAGCACUUUUUCCGGUUAAGGCGCGCAUUUCUUACACUUGGUUAUUAACGCUUUACUCACCGUUUAUUUUGUUCAUUGGAGGCUCACUUCAUUUUUCACAACUCUGUUUAAUUCGACGGCAAGCUUUGAUUUCAAACUUUUGCGUAUUUGGCGCACAAAACUCUUUUCACGUUUGCUUUUUACAAAACAAAUACAAUUUGCAUACA